GCACUGCUGAAGUGUCCCACAACAGGACGAAACGCCCGUACAGUGC
rnacentral:hammerhead_ribozyme from 1 species